rnacentral:rRNA from 1 species
AGAGUUUGAUCAUGGCUCAGAUUGAACGCUGGCGGCAGGCCUAACACAUGCAAGUCGAACGGUAACAGGAAGCAGCUUGCUGCUUCGCUGACGAGUGGCGGACGGGUGAGUAAUGUCUGGGAAGCUGCCUGAUGGAGGGGGAUAACUACUGGAAACGGUAGCUAAUACCGCAUAAUGUCGCAAGACCAAAGAGGGGGACCUUCGGGCCUCUUGCCAUCGGAUGUGCCCAGAUGGGAUUAGCUUGUUGGUGGGGUAACGGCUCACCAAGGCGACGAUCCCUAGCUGGUCUGAGAGGAUGACCAGCCACACUGGAACUGAGACACAGUCCAGACUCCUACGGGAGGCAGCAGUGGGGAAUAUUGCACAAUGGGCGCAAGCCUGAUGCAGCCAUGCCGCGUGUAUGAAGAAGGCCUUCGGGUUGUAAAGUACUUUCAGCGGGGAGGAAGGGAGUAAAGUUAAUACCUUUGCUCAUUGACGUUACCCGCAGAAGAAGCACCGGCUAACUCCGUGCCAGCAGCCGCGGUAAUACGGAGGGUGCAAGCGUUAAUCGGAAUUACUGGGCGUAAAGCGCACGCAGGCGGUUUGUUAAGUCAGAUGUGAAAUCCCCGGGCUCAACCUGGGAACUGCAUCUGAUACUGGCAAGCUUGAGUCUUGUAGAGGGGGGUAGAAUUCCAGGUGUAGCGGUGAAAUGCGUAGAGGUCUGGAGGAAUACCGGUGGCGAAGGCGGCCCCCUGGACGAAGACUGACGCUCAGGUGCGAAAGCGUGGGGAGCAAACAGGAUUAGAUACCCUGGUAGUCCACGCCGUAAACGAUGUCGACUUGGAGGUUGUGCCCUUGAGGCGUGGCUUCCGGAGCUAACGCGUUAAGUCGACCGCCUGGGGAGUACGGCCGCAAGGUUAAAACUCAAAUGAAUUGACGGGGGCCCGCACAAGCGGUGGAGCAUGUGGUUUAAUUCGAUGCAACGCGAAGAACCUUACCUGGUCUUGACAUCCACGGAAGUUUUCAGAGAUGAGAAUGUGCCUUCGGGAACCGUGAGACAGGUGCUGCAUGGCUGUCGUCAGCUCGUGUUGUGAAAUGUUGGGUUAAGUCCCGCAACGAGCGCAACCCUUAUCCUUUGUUGCCAGCGGUCCGGCCGGGAACUCAAAGGAGACUGCCAGUGAUAAACUGGAGGAAGGUGGGGAUGACGUCAAGUCAUCAUGGCCCUUACGACCAGGGCUACACACGUGCUACAAUGGCGCAUACAAAGAGAAGCGACCUCGCGAGAGCAAGCGGACCUCAUAAAGUGCGUCGUAGUCCGGAUUGGAGUCUGCAACUCGACUCCAUGAAGUCGGAAUCGCUAGUAAUCGUGGAUCAGAAUGCCACGGUGAAUACGUUCCCGGGCCUUGUACACACCGCCCGUCACACCAUGGGAGUGGGUUGCAAAAGAAGUAGGUAGCUUAACCUUCGGGAGGGCGCUUACCACUUUGUGAUUCAUGACUGGGGUGAAGUCGUAACAAGGUAACCGUAGGGGAACCUGCGGUUG